ACAUUCAUUUUAGGAGAAAUUAAGAAAAAGAAAAAAACUUUCUUCAACUCUUACACCCAAUUCAAAUUUUUUGAAAAAAAAAAAAAAGAUUACAUUUUUGACGGAUGACAGCAGAAAAGGAAGAAACUUUUUUAUUUUCCUCAAACUGAAAAAAAGAAGGAAAACUUUUUUGUUUAUUUAUUUUCUGAAGUAGGAAAAAAAGGAUCGAUGAUUAACCGAGUAAGAGGUCGUUAGCCUGAAAGCGGCGGAUUCGAAACUUGCUCAUAUGUUAGUUAUUGUUUAUAAUAAUACUCAUCUCGAACUUUCUUUCGCCAUCAAAUUCUUAUUUCUUUUAAUCGAAAAAACACCGACUGAUAAUGAUUUCUACUGCCACUUCGGCAUCUCAACUUCGUCCCAACACUGCCGACAAUAAGGACGCUGUCUCCACUUUUCUACUUCCCAAACUGCCUCAGAACUGCAGCCUCGCAAGUUUAAGGGCAGCGCCCAGCUCAACCGUUGGUCAAGGGCCCGCUCUAUACGCUCCGGCCGAAAGCUCGACCAACCCAACCAACGCGUUCGUCGGCUCGAAUCAUCCUCCCUGGUCGAGCAGGAGGACGAAAGCGAUUCUUUUCCCGAUAGGUCUCUUACUGACAGUGGCAGCGACGAUGAGAUGGACUUGACGGCGGGGAAGGCGAUAUACAUGGUAUCUGAUGGAACUGGAUGGACGGCCGAGCACUCCGUUAAUGCUGCGUUGGGGCAGUUCGAACAUUGCUUGGUAAAUCGCGGGUGUUCCGUGAAUACUCAUCUUUUUUCUGGGAUUGACGAUGAGCAGCAGUUGAUAGAAAUAGUAAAGCAAGCAGCCAAGGAAGGUGGAAUGCUUGUUUACACCUUAGCUGAUCCUUCCAUGGCCGAGUCUGCCAAACAAGCCUGUAGGUUAUGGGGUAUCCCAUCCACAGAUAUACUGGGACCAAUCACUGAUGCAAUUGCUUCUCAUUUAGGGGUUUCUCCAUCUGGUCUUCCCCGUGGAGCUCUAGGGAGGAGCCCUCUUAAUGAGGAGUACUUUAGAAGGAUAGAAGCAAUUGAAUUUACCAUCAAGCAAGAUGAUGGAGCCCUGCCUCAGAAUUUGCACAAGGCUGACAUUGUCCUUGUGGGUGUUUCGCGUACUGGAAAAACGCCACUAUCAACAUACAUAGCACAGAAAGGAUACAAGGUUGCAAAUGUGCCGAUUGUAAUGGAUGUAGAAUUACCAAAGACUCUUUUUGAGGUGAACCCAGCAAAGGUUUUUGGUUUGACCAUAAAUCCCAUGACUCUGCAAACAAUAAGAAAAACAAGAGCCAAAACCCUGGGUUUUGGAAUGGAAGCAAAGAUCAACUACUCAGAGUUUGAUUACGUAAAAAAGGAGUUGGAGUUUGCCGGGAAGAUAUUUGCUCAAAAUCCUACUUGGCCUGUGAUUGAGGUGACUACUAAAGCAAUUGAAGAAACUGCAGCAGUUGUAUUAAAGCUUUACCAUGACCGAAAGCAUAAGUGCUCAAUGCCACGUAUCUUAAGACGCUACUAGAAAUGUUUCUCUCUUCUUCUCAAGCUUGAAAGAAGUAGAUGCUGGCUAUAGAUAAUGUCAGAGGGUGGGGGAGAGAGCGCAGGGGUGAGGAGUAGCUUGGUUUUCUUCCUUCCUGCCUUGGUGAGAUUGAAACCCAAAAUUCCAACUUGCAGUCCUGUGGACGUCCUUGUGAUUCAAUGGAGUCUCAACAGACCCAGGGUCAUAAUUUGUUUGCAGGAAAUGGUUUAAAUUUGACCUAUCCAUCGUUUCUACCAAAAACACUUGCAGUGUUAUUAGGUUCUUGUGUUCUAUAUACCAGACAUAUUCACUUGUUGAAGAAGGCCAAUUUGACUUUCUCUGUGUCUAUGAAUUUUGGGAGAUACCUGUAAACCCUUUAAAGAAGGUGGUUGAAGAUCACUUUCAGUUUAGUAGUCAAUGCUGUGACUGAGUACUUUUCCGUUACUGCCGCUAAUUUUGAGUGAAGACGGUUGGGGAAUUUCCUUUUCUUUUUUCCCAUUUGUUUAAAGUCACUAGUGAUGGUAUUGUUUUCCAAUUCGACUUAGUUAAAAUAAACAGAAAUUUCAAAUGAA